AAUGUCGACCACUCCUUGACGUCUGCGAUUUCUGCAUUGCGACCCUUGUUAUAUUACCGUCUUCCACCAAUAAACUCCCCAAAAAGUAUGGCUGUGGCCAUUCACAGUUGUAUCUUGACACUUGGUGAUAACUUGCUACAAUGAGUUUUUGGAUCAAAAUUGGAAAACUCUGUGAUGUUGCCUAGCUGUUGAAAAGCUUUUGACCCAGAAGCCAGAGAAGGAGAGAAACAGAGAGAAGAAAGAACAUACACACCAAACGGAAUAACUCGAAGGGACCCUGGAAUAUUCUAGCGUUAAGUCCUCUGUUUCUGAGCUUGGGGAUUCACUGAGCUUCUCCCAAUGACCAACUAGAGCUUCACCUCUGGCCUUGGCGUGAUCCCUCACCUCUUCCGUCAAGCCACACCCACAGUUGAAGGUG